rnacentral:rRNA from 1 species
CACGUAGGGUGCGAGCGUUGUCCGGAAUUAUUGGGCGUAAAGAGCUCGUAGGCGGUGUGUCGCGUCGGCCGUGAAAACCUGCAGCUUAACUGUGGGCUUGCGGUCGAUACGGGCAUCACUGGAGUUCGGCAGAGGAGACUGGAAUUCCUGGUGUAGCGGUGAAAUGCGCAGAUAUCAGGAGGAACACCGGUGGCGAAGGCGGGUCUCUGGGCCGAUACUGACGCUGAGGAGCGAACGCGUGGGGAGCGAACAGG